UCUCCGUAGGUGAACCUGCGGAGGGAUCAUUACAGAGUUCAUGCCCUACCGGGUAGAUCUCCCACCCUAUGUUAUUAUUACUUUGUUGCUUUGGCGGGCCGUUAGGCUCCGGCCCGACUACCGGCCCCGGCUGGUAAGCGCCCGCCAGAGGACCCAAAACCCUGAAUAUUAGUGUCGUCUGAGUACUAUAUAAUAGUUAAAACUUUCAACAACGGAUCUCUUGGUACCGGCAUCGAUGAAGAACGCGC
rnacentral:misc_RNA from 1 species